rnacentral:lncRNA from 1 species
GCGAUUAUUAAUUGAAUUUACAGCUCAUUAAUCACUGCAUUCAUUUGAUAAGCUCUGCUACUGGAUUUUCCAAAGCAUGCCUUCUCUUUCAGUGAGUUGAUCUUCAAUGUCAUCAAUUUGUUGGCCCAAACAACCUCAGCAAAUGUGGAUGCUUUGUGGGCUGGGCAACCGAAUCAAGUUGGCUCGACCGCCAACCACCGAAUACCGAAGAGCAAAUCUGGUCGUCGAACCAACGCACUAGAAAACCACAGUGCUGAUGAAUGAAUGGUUUGGUUUGGUUUGAGUUUAUCAUGGAGAUAACAACAGCCAAGAUCGAGAGAGGGAGGUAGCAAGUAGCUAGGCGUCGAGGAUCUAGAUAAGCCUAGAUCUUUUCAGACUGUGGACUGCGCCAAGCUGGC